rnacentral:rRNA from 1 species
GACGAACGCUGGCGGCAGGCUUAACACAUGCAAGUCGAGCGCCCCGCAAGGGGAGUGGCAGACGGGUGAGUAACGCGUGGGAAUCUACCGUGCCCUGCGGAAUAGCUCCGGGAAACUGGAAUUAAUACCGCAUACGCCCUACGGGGGAAAGAUUUAUCGGGGUAUGAUGAGCCCGCGUUGGAUUAGCUAGUUGGUGGGGUAAAGGCCUACCAAGGCGACGAUCCAUAGCUGGUCUGAGAGGAUGAUCAGCCACAUUGGGACUGAGACACGGCCCAAACUCCUACGGGAGGCAGCAGUGGGGAAUAUUGGACAAUGGGCGCAAGCCUGAUCCAGCCAUGCCGCGUGAGUGAUGAAGGCCUUAGGGUCGUAAAGCUCUUUUACCGAUGAAGAUAAUGACGGUAGUCGGAGAAGAAGCCCCGGCUAACUUCGUGCCAGCAGCCGCCGUAA